CGAAGGCAGAGGCCCAACCCACUGAGCCAGCCAGGAGUCCAUGUGUCUCCAUUUAAAUGGGCUUCUCCGGGACGGUGUGUAGCAGAGUUUUACUUGGUGAGUUGUUUCCUUAGCAGAAGAGACAUCCUCUGUGUAAUUACAAGGAAAUUCAUUUCAUUCCUUGGGUGCCCGGACAAACAGUGCUAUUUCCAGGCUUCUGCAGACUCUCUCUUAGCAAAGUACAAUCAGUGAUAUUUAGAAAAUCUUCGAAUGAUCACAGCACGAGGGCGGCUUUCAGCCUGCCAGCUCCAUCCUGUCCGAGGCCACCAGGGGCCCCGCCCGCAGACGACCCCGAGACGCUGACCCAGGUGUCAGAACACGGGCCUUCCCGGUGGCGAGCAGGCGGGCUCAGACUUUGUGUCUCUUCUUACAUCAAGACAGAACCUUCCUGCGCGUCGCCCUCCCCCCUCCCCCCUGCGGCUGGUCUGCCCCUCAGCUCUCACCCUGCCCCCCCACCUCCGACGUGCAAGCUGUGUGGGCGCCACAGCUCACCGGCCCACCUAAGGACGGUCUGAUGAGAUUCGGAGGCCAGAGGGAGGUGUGGACCUUUGCUCCUGAGAGAGGCCUGGCCAGGCCGAGGAGUCGACUUGCCUGUGGGUCCCCGUCGUGUGCACGUCCUCAACCGAAUUUCCUCUAGUGCUUCUGAAUCGACUCGUUUUGCUGGUCCUGAGUGUGGCUUCUGGACAGAAGCCCGACAGGAGCAGCCGAUCGCCUCCUCCCGGGGACUGUGGUAGUGACGAGCUUGGCCUCGCUCCUGACACGACUCCUGGUGGCUGGGGAGUGCCCUCCAUGCCCCCAGAACGUGCUGCCGGCCUCCCCCUCUCGGCUCUGGUUCUGUUCCUCAGCUGCCUCGUUCCCGUGAGCUGCCAACUCCCCCCGCCCCGGCUCUGUCGUGGGCUCUGGCACCAUGCAGGGUCGUGUGUACAAGUCAGAGGCAAAAUUCUGAGCAGUGGUUGGCCUUUGCCUGCAGCUGUUUGUCCCCACAAGGACUCACUGGCACGAAGUCACACAGCCACGGGGGCCACUGCUCGGAGCCACGGCCGUGUCCAUCGGUCUCUGGACGCAGCUUUCCUUGGCAGAGCCCUCCAGCUGGGCCCCAGCGUCUGUGGACACGACCGGGCAACUGCGCUUCCCAGACCCCUGCAUGAAGGGGGGGCCCAAACAUAACCAUUGACCUGAAAUUAAUAAAAUUUGAGGUCAUGGGUGCCUGG